rnacentral:rRNA from 1 species
AUUGAACGCUGGCGGCAGGCCUAACACAUGCAAGUCGAGCGGAUGAAGGGAGCUCGCUCCUGGAUUCAGCGGCGGACGGGUGAGUAAUGCCUAGGAAUCUGCCUGGUAGUGGGGGAUAACGUCCGGAAACGGGCGCUAAUACCGCAUACGUCCUGAGGGAGAAAGUGGGGGAACUUCAGACCUCACGCUAUCAGAUGAGCCUAGGUCGGAUUAGCUAGUUGGUGGGGUAAAGGCCUACCAAGGCGACGAUCCGUAACUGGUCUGAGAGGAUGAUCAGUCACACGGACUAUGAGCCACGGUCCGGCACCGUCCGGGAGAAGGAGGGGGGAAAUUUGGGACAAGGGGCGAGAGCUGAACCCACCCAUGCGGGGGGUGAAAAGCAGGUUUAGUGUUUGUAAGCCACUUUAGGUGGGGAGGAGGGGGAGAAAGUUAACACCUUGUUGUUUUCACGUUACCAAAAAGAAAGACCGCGGCAAACUUCGUG